CAGAACGUGACCACAUUACACCGAAAAGAAACCAUGCAGACUCUCUUUCAGUUAAUGAUGUAUGACAUAAUCUGAGAACUACACAAAUACAACAUCACCAGGAGGAAGCAAUAGCAUUCAAAAUGAAGAGAGCUGAGCAGCCUUACCUCGAGCAGACAGGAUCAGAGACCUACAGAGUGGCAGAGGAGACAGCAGGGACAGAGAGGACCACGAGGGGAGGAGUUACUGGGAAAAAAAAAACGUCACUCAAAAUACAAAUACACAAAAGAGCCAAACAUC